GGGAUUACCUCAGUAACGGCGAGUGAAGCGGUAACAGCUCAAAUUUGAAAUCUGGGUCUUUCAGGCUCCGAGUUGUAAUUUGUAGAAGAUGCUUUGGGUGCGGUCCCGGUCUAAGUUCCUUGGAACAGGACGUCAUAGAGGGUGAGAAUCCCGUAUGUGAUCGGUGGCUUGCGCCCGUGUAAAGCUCUUUCGACGAGUCGGGUUGUUUGGGAAUGCAGCUCUAAAUGGGUGGUAAAUUUCAUCUAAAGCUAAAUAUUGGCCAGAGACCGAUAGCGCACAAGUAGAGUGAUCGAAAGAUGAAAAGCACUUUGGAAAGAGAGUUAAACAGUACGUGAAAUUGUUGAAAGGGAAGCGCUUGCAACCAGACUUGCGCGGGGUUGAUCAUCCGGGGUUCUCCCCGGUGCACUCGGCCUCGCUCAGGCCAGCAUCGGUUUCGGUGGUUGGAUAAAGGCCUUGGGAAUGUGACUUCUUUCGGGGAGUGUUAUAGCCCUCGGUGCAAUGCAGCCUACCGGGACCGAGGACCGCGCUUCGGCUAGGAUGCUGGCGUAAUGGUUGUAAGCGACCCGUCUUGAAACACGGACCAAGGAGUCUAACAUCUAUGCGAGUGUUUGGGCGUCAAACCCAUACGCGUAAUGAAAGUGAACGGAGGUGAGAACCCUUAAGGGUGCAUCAUCGACCGAUCCUGAUGUCUUCGGAUGGAUUUGAGUAAGAGCAUAGCUGUUGGGACCCGAAAGAUGGUGAACUAUGCCUGAAUAGGGUGAAGCCAGAGGAAACUCUGGUGGAGGCUCGCAGCGGUUCUGACGUGCAAAUCGAUCGUCAAAUUUGGGCAUAGGGGCGAAAGACUAAUCGAACCAUCUAGUAGCUGGUUCCUGCC
rnacentral:rRNA from 1 species